GGUUAUCGCCAUUCCAUAUAGAAUAUCCCUGAUCUCGUUUGAUCUUGGAAGUCAAGCAGUCUCGGGCUAGGUUAGUACUUGGAUGGGUGACCGCUUGGGAAUACCAAGUGUGAUGAGCA
rnacentral:rRNA from 1 species